UCAUUCUCCCCACUCUCCUGUGGACUGUGGGGAGGAGGCAGAGUACUCAAGGAGCCAGGAAGCAUUGGAACCUCUGGUACUGCCAGAGGAAGAGGCCUGCCCAGUUGAAAUAGUCAGUGAUGACUAUUUGAAUUAGCACUGAUGAGGCAGUGAUGGGGAGAGAGGACCACAGAGAGUGGCCACACCUGGAAGAGGGAUGUGCAGACAGGGACUGGGGUGGGGCAGGGCUCCACUCAGAGUGGAACCCCAGGGUUGGAUCACCUGGCUAUUCAUGGAAAGUCAAGGGGCUGGAGGUUGUCUGCAGAUGAGAGCAGUCAGGAAAAGGGAGGCUGUGAUGCCUAGGAUGGCCCUUCCAAGGAUCAGAAGGGGGUCUUCUAAGCUAUAGCAAAGGGGCUCUUGAGAAUUAGGAGAGGGGUCAGGGACUAAAGAUGCCAACACCCAGAGAAGCUAUGUCUGGGGAAGACGGUGGCCUGCAUUCAGAUACCAGAGGCCCCGGGCUGAGGAAGGUGCACACAUCCAGCCUGCCAGAAAAAACCCAGGAGCUGAAGGCAGAUGGUCCCCAGAACUAAGGGGGAAUAGUUGGGGGAAUGUCAUGUGGGAGCUUCCCACAAAGACAGCCAUGGAAGAAGGACUGUGGGGUAGGACCUCUCUCCUCCCUAAGCCGUGCCAUAGUGAGAGCCUGGCUCAAGGGAAAAGGAGCUCAAUCUGUUAGUUACCUGAGGUUCUUGCACCAGGCCAGGCAUCUCUUGAACACAGUCUGCUGUGUGAAGAGAACAGAGCAUCACCUUGGGGACUGGCACAGGGUUUCUCAUGGGGCAAGCAGACGAGGAGUAUAACUGGGCCUGCCUGGCAAAAGGUUCAGCAUGAGGCCGAGGGCAGACAAAUGAGCAGAGGGUGGAGGAGGACAUUCACUUGACAGGGGACAUGGGCUCAACCCUCAGAAUCCUGGAGGAACUACUGAGUUAGAGGCUGGGUAGCAGCAAAUACCUGCAUUAUUAGGAGCUUUGAACAUACCAUGGUGGCCUCAUGACAUAUGAAUAUAUCACUUUCAAACUCAGAAAGCAUGAGGGUUCUUUUCUCCUCUGAGAUACACAUUUGGGAAUGAAGGUGUCCCGGUCACACAUUUAGGGCUGAAACCAUUUGCACUGAGAAGAGUCAGCAAGAGUUCUGUUGAACAGGAAGGUGCUGUAACCAGGCUUUCUGAUCACAAUGGGGGAACAUUUUAACACAUGUGUAAGUUGUGUCAUUUCCAUGUCCCUGAGGAUGGAUGGGGCCAGAGUCCUCUGGGAAGGAGAGCUCCUGCCUCACAGUGACCUCCCUUUGAUGGGAAAAGGAAGUAAUUGCACUUUUCUUCUGUUCUUAAAGAACCUUGUUGGAGGUGCAGUCUGAGGUCUGCUUACCUAACAGCCUGGUUCCUGGUGGUGCUCAAGCAGCACUGACCAUAGAUGCUUCCUCUCAGGGUCAUUUGGAGUCCAUAUGGGAACUCCAUGAGCCCUAUGCACUGAGGGCCCAGACCAGGUUGCCCAGUGCCUCCUGUGAUUUCUUCCUAGACCCAAAUAAUCAUUCCCACUUUCUUUUUUUGGCCAGGGGACUGAGGUGAGAGCUGGGGGUUUACCGUAUAGGCUAAGUAAAAAAACCCAGACAUGUCCUCCUCCUCAUAGUUCUCCACUUCUAUGGACCAGUCUUUCUGCUUCUUCUGGCCAGAGGCAGGAAGUAGAGUGCUAAUCGAGGGACUGGAUCAAAAAGACCCAGCAGGUCCAUCUGCCACUCAUCUUCUGACUCCCACAGCCUCUCUUCCUUUUCCGGCCAGAGGCCUAAGGACAGAAGUUGGAUGCCAUCAACAGACCUGAGGAAAGAAACCAGGUUCACUAUGAAACCUCACUCUUUGGAAUUCAGCCUUUGAUCAUCUAAGCACAAUGUCCUCUUCCCAAGCACAAAACGUUUUCCAUUGUCAUCUCCUUCAGAGUCAUUUUUGCAAAUUUUACCUUUGCUGUUCUCCAUCUGCUUUCAGUUCUCCUUGCAGGGUCCAUUGUUCCCUUCCUUCCAAACUCCACCUGUUGUAGACACAUUGUCACAGGUGUGUGAAAGGAAGCUCUACUUGAGUCUCUGCUUCCCCUGUGCAUCCUGGGAACACAUGUUCUAACCCCUCCUUCCUACCAGCCCCACAGAUUUUUGACUGAUGGGGCUCUCCUUGUCCCACAUCCUGUCUUUUCCUAUUCCCUUCCCCGGUAUGGAAAUAAUGAUGGGAAUGUGUUCUGGGAAAGGGGCAAUCCAUUGAAACUGUCAUUGUGCCAACCUGGUAGAAUGAACUCACCCAGCUCUAAGAACUAGCAGGGCAGGAGGUGAAACCAUCUCAUAUAAGCACUAUGUCUCUGUGGUCCAUCACUGGCCAAAAUAUAAUAUGUAGCACGUGAAUGUCUAUUGCUUCUGUUGUACAGCCAGCCCUCUAUGCAUCUAUGGAAUUGUUUCCUCCACCUGAAGAGAAACUCUACCCCAUGAAACCAUGGAUGCCCAGUCUCUUCUCACAGCCUCUGGGAAGCAGUGUUCUCCCAUUGUCCCUAUGAAUGGACAGCGCUGGGAUCCUUGUAUGCCUAGCAGUCCUGUGGACUCAGACCACGUGUGUCUUUGGUGUCUGCCUUCUUCCUCUUAGCACAAUGUCCUCAGGGUCCCUUGAGAGUGCAGGAUGUCAGAGUGCCGUCCUUUCUGAGGAAGGUAUAACUGUCUACUGUGUAGAUAGAUGACAGAUAUUGUCAUAGCCAUUUAUUCAUAAUGGGACAUUCAGGUGAAUUCCACACUGGGAUUCUAAAUUUUGCUUUAAUCCAUUUCUGGUAUCUGUUGAUGUUAAGGCUGUCUGUUCUUUAGGCUCUGUGUGAAGGUUACUUGGUACUUUCAUCCCUGGACAUGUCUUCCAGCAACCCGCACAAGGCAUAGACUUCAUCAUGCAGAAUUCUGCCUUCAGGGAUCUUUGGCCUCUCUUCCCAGGGCCCUAGGACUUUCCUCAAACAAGUUAAAAGAGGCCUAGUGUCCUGGCCCAUGAUGUAAUAGUAGCACUCAAGAAGCUGAGGCAGGAGGAUGGCUGAGAGUUUGAGGCCACAAUCACUAUGUAUCUCAGGCUGUCCUCAAACUUCUCACAUCUGUCCAUCCUCACCCUCCUGAGGGAUGAUAUUACAUAGAUGUGCCAUUCACCCCAGCUAGGAAUCGGAGAACUUAGAUGAUAUACCAAAAGUCCACAUGAUACAGGAGUUUCUCUGUGGCAUAGCCAUAGUAUGUAGUGGUGGAUCCUGUGGGAGGUGGGACCUACCAGGAGGGAAUGAGGUCAUUGGGGCUGUGCCCUUCAAGGCUCAGCAGGACCUUUUCCCUGGCCUCUUCCUCUCACUGGCUUCCUGGCAGCCAGGAGUUGAGAAGAUUUGCUCUUUAACCUGUUCCCAUCAUGCCCUGUUGCCUUGGCACAGAACCAGAAGCAAAGCAGCAAAAGUUCCUCUUUUUAAGUGUCUGCUUCCAGUAAGAGAAAGCUAAUGUAUGCACUAACUUGGUAACUUAAAUUCUUUUUUCAAGACUGUACAGACAGAUUGAUGUUGGGAACAUAUUCAGGAUAGGAAGAGCCUGAAUGUAAAUCAGAGCACAUUAAUGAUGAUGAGCAGGGUGUCUCUAAGAGAUUCUCAGCAGAAAAUGUCACCUCCUACAAAGAAAGAUUUUCGCCAUGUUUUCCUGAUGGACUAAUAGUUGGAAGAAAGAAAGGAGGAUGAUAUUCUACUGCGAUGGUGCUGCUGCCUCUGAAAUGGCUAGAAUCAUUUCAGGCACCAUCAUAGCUAAGGCACAGCUGUUUAUUCUGAGCUAAUUGGAGCAGAGUUAAAACCAAGAGAAGUAAACUGCAAGAAAGUAAAGUUUGAGAAGAAAGAGGAUAACCUCUUCAGUGAACAAAUGUCAAGCAUACGUGGCUGCUCAGAAGAUAUACAACAACUUUAUCCAUGAAUCUCCAGGACAGCUUACUAGGAAGUAUAGCUCCUGCUCAACGAUAUUUCUAGAUGACAGCACACUCAGCGAGCCUAGUCGUAGAAAAACAGUAGAAUGUGUGAGCAUAGCAGUAUAUAAUCUCAUAAAGAACAGGGAUCAAACUCAGGACCUUGUACCUGCGAGGC
ensembl:lncRNA